rnacentral:lncRNA from 1 species
CUUCAGCUUUACACGUCUUGUUUAUGGGAAAUGACUCCCCACCCUGAGCUCUUGGACACCCAUUUGUCCUCCCCGGGAGUCCCUUCUUAUUAAGGACCCCUUGACUUCUUGCUUUUCCCUUGCGUAUAUGAAGUCGCUGGCAUGUCUUGCAUGCAGCCCUGUAGCUUCCUGUGUUGAUAAACGGAUGCAUGCAUUCCUUCGGCCUGCGUGACCAAGUUAUGGCAAUAAUGUUGGAUGACUCGUUUGCACUCCUGCAGCCGUCCUGCAGUCAUCGGCGUGUGUCUGCCGGGUUCAAGCUGAUGGUGAGAGGAGUGGCAGCCUUCACUGCGGCUGCUCCUCCCCGUUAACAGCGAGGGGGGAAACUUUCCCUCCUUCCCCGUUAGUGCACUUGGUGUAACGGCGGAGGAGGCUGCGUCUUAACCGAGAAUAAAGUUUGGACAUGAAAACAACCAGCGGGUAGAAAGGACACUUCAGUCUCUCCCCCCCCCCCAAAGCCGUGCGGCAUCAUGCGGCCACCGACGGGCUCCAGCGUCGCUCUCUGGGCUCUCCUAGUCUUCAGUGCUGUCCUCAGGAAUUCUCAAGCAGAUGUUUGUAGGCAAUGUUACAGAAAUGAAACAAGCACAUUAACAACAACAACAACAAAACUGGAAUUGGGAUCAAACUGCAUAGUCACUAUUAACAAUACCACUGUCAAUAAUUCCACAUCUGGCCUCAUUGCUGGAGCUGUCUAUCAGAUCUUCCUUAUUUGUAGCAACUGCUGCACAAGUGUCACAAUGAAGCCUGAAGUAGUUAGGAAUCUCGCAGUCACUGAAUUCACAACAUCCUCUGUGUCUCUGAGCUGGACUGAACCAGAGGGGAACAGCUCUUUCUACAUACUACACUGGACUAAUGGGAAUGUCAGAGAUACUGCAAAUGUGACUGAAACAUUUAAAAACAUCACCAACCUGACUGCUGGUGUCCAGUAUAAUAUAAGUGUCACUGCAGUGGCAGAUGAUGGAUAUACUGAAGGACAGAAAACCAGUGUUUCACAAUACACAAGUAAGUUAGCAUUUCAGUGCACUUCAAUGCCUCCUGCAAUACAGGAUGCAACCUCAGCUGUUACCGUACCUAACAGUUGUAUGUGUCGGAUAGAGGUUCUGGCUCCAUUAACCACUUGGUCUGGUCCUCUCCUCUCCUCCCUUUCCCUCCUCUUCAGGACCAGGUAUCAUUAG